UACGUAGGUGGCAAGCGUUGUCCGGAUUCACUGGGUGUAAAGGGUGCGCAGGCGGAUUGGCAAGUCAGAGGUGAAAUCUCACGGCUUAACCGUGAAACUGCCUUUGAUACUGCUAAUCUUGAGUUAGGGAGAGGUUGAUGGAAUUCCAGGUGUAGCGGUGAAAUGCGUAGAUAUCAAGUGGAACACCAGUGGCGAAGGCGAGUCUCUGGACAUUUCCUGACGCUGAGGCACGAAAGCCAGGGGAGCAAACGGG
rnacentral:rRNA from 1 species